CUGAAUCAUUGAUUUUGGGUAGUGGCCUGUAUCACAGAUAGUAAUUCUUGGCUGUGUAGCCAAUGUUAGAAUACUAGCUGCAGGUUCUGUGGUAUGAUUCGAGAAAUGUUGGCCUACUUGAUUGUAGAUUUACUAUUUUUCUUUCUUCUUUUUGCUGGGGGUAGCUCAGACACUGCUUCAUCUUCUGACAUGAUGUUAAUUUCAUCUUUAAUAGCAUCUCCAACUCCUUCUCCAUCUAAUUUAUACUGUCCUGAGGAGGAUCAAUGGCCAGAGACAAAAGCUGGAGUAAUAGUACAUGGCACAUGCUACCAAGGAAUAUUUAAUGCUAGUAGAUACUGUCAUUCUGAUGGUAAAUGGAAUGAAACUCUUUGUUAUACUACAGGAACAUUCAAUACUAUACUAUUAAGGAUAAAUAUAUCACCACUUUAUGCUCU